UUGCGUUAGGGAUAGUAGUGGAAAGCCCACAGCCUGACGAAGGAAGUGCGAGGACUUGUAGCGGAUAGCCCGGCCCGCC
rnacentral:misc_RNA from 1 species